rnacentral:rRNA from 1 species
GACGAACGCUGGCGGCGUGCUUAACACAUGCAAGUCGAACGGAAAGGCCCUGCUUUUGUGGGGUGCUCGAGUGGCGAACGGGUGAGUAACACGUGAGUAACCUGCCCUUGACUUUGGGAUAACUUCAGGAAACUGGGGCUAAUACCGGAUAGGAGCUCCUGCUGCAUGGGGGGGGUUGGAAAGUUUCGGCGGAUGGGGGUGGACUCGCGGCUAAUCAGCUGGUGGGGGGGGGAGUGGCUUACCAAGGCUUUGGCGGGUGGCCGGCCUGGGAGGGUGACCAGCCACAUUGGGACUGAGAUACGGCCCAGACUCCUACGGGAGGCAGCAGUGGGGAAUAUUGCACAAUGGGCGGAAGUCUGAUGCAGCAACGCCGCGUGCGGGAUGACGGCCUUCGGGUUGUAAACCGCUUUCGCCUGUGACGAAGCGUGAGUGACGGUAAUGGGUAAAGAAGCACCGGCUAACUACGUG